AGAGUUUGAUCCUGGCUUAGGAUGAACGCUGGCGGCGUGCUUAACACAUGCAAGUCGAACGGAGCUUAGAAGGAAGCUUGCUUCAUUUAAGCUUAGUGGCGGACGGGUGAGUAACGCGUGAGCAACCUACCCUCGAGUGGGGAAUAACAUCGAGAAAUCGGUGCUAAUACCGCAUAAAGUCGAGAGACCGCAUGAUCUUUCGACCAAAGGAUUUAUUCGCUUGAGGAUGGGCUCGCGUCCGAUUAGCUAGUUGGUGAGGUAACGGCCCACCAAGGCUUCGAUCGGUAGCCGAACUGAGAGGUUGAUCGGCCACAUUGGGACUGAGACACGGCCCAGACUCCUACGGGAGGCAGCAGUGGGGAAUAUUGGGCAAUGGGCGAAAAAGCCUGACCCAGCAACGCCGCGUGAAGGAUGAAGGUCUUCGGAUUGUAAACUUCUUUGAUUGGGGAAGAAUAAAAUGACCUACCCAAAGAACAAGCCACGGCUAACUACGUGCCAGCCGCGGC
rnacentral:rRNA from 1 species